rnacentral:rRNA from 1 species
GUGGGGAAUAUUGGACAAUGGGCGCAAGCCUGAUCCAGCCAUGCCGCGUGAGUGAUGAAGGCCCUAGGGUUGUAAAGCUCUUUCAGUGGGGACGAUAAUGACGGUACCCACAGAAGAAGCCCCGGCUACUUCGUGCCAGCAGCCGCGGUAAUACGAAGGGGGCUAGCGUUGUUCGGAUUUACUGGGCGUAAAGCGCACGUAGGCGGAUCGUUAAGUCGAGGGUGAAAUCCUGGAGCUCAACUCCAGAACUGCCUUCGAUACUGGCGAUCUUGAGUCCGGAAGAGGUGAGUGGAACUCCUAGUGUAGAGGUGGAAUUCGUAGAUAUUAGGAAGAACACCAGUGGCGAAGGCGGCUCACUGGUCCGGUACUGACGCUGAGGUGCGAAAGCGUGGGGAGCAAACAGGAUUAGAAACCCGGGUAGUCC